rnacentral:rRNA from 1 species
AUGGUUGUCGAUGCCCUUACGGUCAUCCUUGAUAAGGCCAAAGCCUGCGGCCAUAUCCGGGGCGUUGUCCCCCACCUAGUGGACGGAGGAGGGGUUUCCCUCCUCCAAUACGCGGACGACACCAUACUCAUGGUGGAGGGCUCCGCGUCCGACAUCGCCAACCUGAAGUUCCUCCUCCUGUGCUUCCAAGAGAUGUCCGGCCUCACCAUCAACUUCGACAAGAGCGAAGUGAUGGUCCUCGGCUACCCCCCGGACGAUGCUUUGUCCAUUGCGGACCGGUUGAACUGCCGCCUGGGCUCCUUCCCCACGACUUACUUGGGGGUGCCCAUUAGUGACUCCAGACUCACCGUCGCGGAUCUCCGCCCGACGGUGACUAGGAUGCAGCACAGGGUUGAACCCUGGAGGGGACGCUGGCUGUCGAAAGCUGCCAGGGUGAUUCUAAUCAACUCCUCGCUUGCCAGCCUUCUCUGGUUUCUCAUGAGCUUCUACAGCCUUCAUGAGACCCUCCAUCAGGAGAUGGCCAAAUACCAGUCGAGGUUCUUCUGGGCUGGUGAGGGCGACAAG